AUAUGCACAUAGAUUAAGACUCUACAUACUUUAAAAACGUCACCAACUAGAUCAAGUCUUAAAUGCAAUGUUUAAUAUGAUGUCACUGAUUGCUUUUUAUCACAGAUCCUGGGCUUAAAGGAAAGCUCCUAUUUCAGUAUGCAAGCAUGCAGGAAGAGAAAUAAAGGAAGGUCCACCGGCAAGGUGAAUGGAGGACUUAUACGGCUGUGCUGAGCUUAAGGCUAGAAGCUCUUCCCUCCCCCUUUAACAAUAGUGGGAUUUGAAAAAAGAUGGAAAUGGAUGAGUGCUGCAGAACCUGAGCCUCUUCAUGUUCCUGCUGUUGAAUGGAGCCAUGGAAAUCUGCCUCAAAACCUUACCUGUCUGUGCCUAAUCUAAUUGUAGUGGUGCUGGGAAACUCAUAAGCAGUGACAAAGGAUGUUCUGCUGCCCAUGGUGAUGAAGACUUGGCCCAAGUGUUUAUAUCUGAAAAAUUGUGUAACCACGGAAGAUAAUUAAAACUUAUCAUCCAGAUAAAAUAUUACAUGUGAACAUUUCACUGCUCCUUCUCCUUUGGUGGCUUUGUGUAAAUAAGUAUUUAUAAACCUGAGACAUCUCAAUUAUAUGGAUUUAACUUGGGGGUGAUUAUCAUAAUUGCUGUUUGCCUUUCCAAGGUGUUUAUGUUUUUAUUUGC